rnacentral:rRNA from 1 species
GACGAACGCUGGCGGCGUGCUUAACACAUGCAAGUCGAACGGAAAGGCCCUGCUUUUGUGGGGUGCUCGAGUGGCGAACGGGUGAGUAACACGUGAGUAACCUGCCCUUGACUUUGGGAUAACUUCAGGAAACUGGGGCUAAUACCGGAUAGGAGCUCCUGCUGCAUGGUGGGGGUUGGAAAGUUUCGGCGGUUGGGGAUGGACUCGCGGCUUAUCAGCUUGUUGGUGGGGUAGUGGCUUACCAAGGCUUUGACGGGUAGCCGGCCUGAGAGGGUGACCGGCCACACUGGAAGUGAGACGCGGUAGAGACUACUACGGGAGGCAGCAGUGGGGAAUGGUGGACAAGGGGCGGAAGCGUGAUGCCGGGAUGGAGCGUGUAGGAAGAAGGCCUGCGGGUUGUAAAGUACUUUCAGCGGGGAGGAAGGGAGUAAAGUUAAGAACUUUACUCAUUGACGUUACCCGCAGAAGAAGCACCGGCUAACUCCGUG